rnacentral:misc_RNA from 1 species
AAGUCGUAACAAGGUUUCCGUAGGUGAACCUGCGGAAGGAUCAUUAACACGUAUCCAACGUUAAACAACCCCGUGAACUUUCAGCCUGCUCUUGCAUGCCAUGAUGAAACAGCAAUCCCGGUAAAUCAUCGCCAAAACAGUUUUGAUUCGGGACCUCUGUCAAGUGGGGUGCAAUUGAUGCGGUAGAAGCAGUGGCAUGGCUUCCCCAAGUGGUCAGUGAAUAACAGCGUCACUGGCUAUGUAAGGAUAACCGGCAGACAUGUCACAGGGUCACCACGCCCCUUAAUAACCCCACUUUCAAUGCCCCGCCUAGUGGUAACGCGCUAGGUAACUAAAACCGAACAACUGUUAACAAUGGAUAUCUUGGUUCUC